rnacentral:tRNA from 1 species
GUGUAGCUCAGUGAGCAGAGCAUUUGCCUUGUAAGUACACAUCACUGGGUUCUAGUCCUAGCAC